GAUGAACGCUGGCGGCGUGCCUAAUACAUGCAAGUCGAGCGAACAGAUGAGGAGCUUGCUCCUCUGACGUUAGCGGCGGACGGGUGAGUAACACGUGGAUAACCUACCUAUAAGACUCGGAUAACUUCGGGAAACCGGAGCUAAUACCGGAUAAUAUAUUGAACCGCAUGGUUCAAUAGUGAAAGACGGUUUUGCUGUCACUUAUAGAUGGAUCCGCGCCGCAUUAGCUAGUUGGUAAGGUAACGGCUUACCAAGGCGACGAUGCGUAGCCGACCUGAGAGGGUGAUCGGCCACACUGGAACUGAGACACGGUCCAGACUCCUACGGGAGGCAGCAGUAGGGAAUCUUCCGCAAUGGGCGAAAGCCUGACGGAGCAACGCCGCGUGAGUGAUGAAGGUCUUCGGAUCGUAAAACUCUGUUAUUAGGGAAGAACAAAUGUGUAAGUAACUAUGCACGUCUUGACGGUACCUAAUCAGAAAGCCACGGCUAACUACGUG
rnacentral:rRNA from 1 species